rnacentral:rRNA from 1 species
GCGCGAAAACUUUACAAUGCUGGCAACAGCGAUAAGGGAACCUCGAGUGCCAGGUUACAAAUCUGGCUGUCGAGAUGCCUAAAAAGCAUUUCAUAGCAAGGGCCGGGCAAGACCGGUGCCAGCCGCCGCGGUAACACCGGCGGCUCGAGUGGUAACCGUUAUUAUUGGGUCUAAAGGGUCUGUAGCCGGCCGGAUAAGUCUCUUGAGAAAUCUGGCAGCUUAACUGUCAGGCUUUCAGGAGAUACCGUCUGGCUCGAGGCCGGGAGAGGUGAGAGGUACUUCAGGGGUAGGGGUGAAAUCUUGUAAUCCUUGAAGGACCACCAGUGGCGUAGGCGUCUCACCAGAACGGACCUGACGGCAAGGGACGAAAGCUAGGGGCACGAACCG